rnacentral:rRNA from 1 species
GCCCAGUGCUCUGAAUGUCAAUGUGAAGAGAUUCAUCAAAGCACGGGUAAACAGCGGGAGUAACUAUGACUCUCUUGUGCUGAGACACGGGGACCGGUGACGGUCGCGGUGCAU